rnacentral:rRNA from 1 species
GACGAACGCUGGCGGCGUGCUUAACACAUGCAAGUCGAACGGUGAAGCUCCAGCUUGCUGGAGUGGAUCAGUGGCGAACGGGUGAGUAACACGUGAGCAACCUGCCCCUGACUCUGGAAUAAGCGCUGGAAACGGCGUCUAAUACUGGAUACGAGAAGGGUCCGCAUGGGCACUUUCUGGAAAGUUUUUCGGUUGGGGAUGGGCUCGCGGCCUAUCAGCUUGUUGGUGAGGUAAUGGCUCACCAAGGCGACGACGGGUAGCCGGCCUGAGAGGGCGACCGGCCACACUGGGACUGAGACACGGCCCAGACUCCUACGGGAGGCAGCAGUGGGGAAUAUUGCACAAUGGGCGAAAGCCUGAUGCAGCGACGCCGCGUGAGGGAUGACGGCCUUCGGGUUGUAAACCUCUUUCAGCAGGGAAGAAGCGAAAGUGACGGUACCUGCAGAAGAAGCACCGGCUAACUACGUG